AUCAUUUUCGAACGCAGACAAUGAUCCUUUCUUUGGUGGUGUUUACCAUAGCUGAUCCUCUGGGUUUUUUUUAGAGUAAAAUGCGUUAAGGUAGGCAUAAACACUGGUUGAAUACCGUUUUAGAUUCCGCGUAAAACACUUUCAAUGACGAUUUCUUUUUUGCCAAAACAUCGACGCGUCUAAAAUUGAAAUCGAUUAGCGCGCGAAUUUUUGACGUGUAACCUCGACCGCUAAUUCCACGCUAUCGUCUAUUGAACUAUUGAUGUGAACUAUAGUGUGUUUCGAAUUAAAUUAGAUUUAAUCAAGCACGGUAUUAAAAAAGAAAACGAACGCGCUAUAGGAGUCACGGGUCUUACUAAACGAGAACUACACCAGCAUCAUUAACAAAAUGAACAUGAACAAGGUUUUUAGGAAGGAAGAUGCCAAAGCACGCACACCGAGCCGGAAGCGUCGAUAGCGCGCGAAGAGUCACGUGUGAUGAGGCUCAUGAAACUUCUGGACGAGAGCCAAGGCCAACAGUUUCCAAGAAAAUUACCACGUCAAACAUAAAUUCGCAUAUCAUCAAUAUCAUACUCAAACAGACGAAACACAAAUCACUGAACGAUCUGAUUCGGUCAAGAUUUAACACUAAUAAGAACAACGUGAUAACUGAGACAUUUAGCACCUUUGAUUUUAUUUAACGCCAUUUUAUAUCUCGUGAUAACAAAUCAGAUAACUUAAAGAAUGACAAACCAUAUUUUUAUUUAUUUAAUGAAGAAUCAAGCGUUCAUUCGGAACCCUUUCAUUCUGUAUAGAGAGAGAGAGAGAGAGAGAGAGAGAGAGAGAGAGAGAGAGAGAAAUAGAUCUCUCUCGAGAGAAUACACUUUAUUGCACACCAAAACACAAUUUACAUUCAAAAACAGUCAAAAAGCAGAUACUUUUGUAGAAUAGGCGGUCUUAUUGUUAAAAGCGAUCUCUUUCAGACAACCGUUUCAUUUACUAACCGUUUAAUUCUGGAAAAUAUAUAAAUAUAGCAUAUUAUUCUGCGGUGUACUAUUGACAUGCACGCAUUAUUAUAAAAAAUAUAUACAUACAAUAAAAUUAAAUAGAUAUAUACCGUUUACAUAUAAUAUGAAAUAGCUAUUUGAUUUAUAUACCAAUAUACAUACUUACAUACACAUAAUGAAUCAACAGAUAAAUGAUAAUGAUACAAACAAACAAAACUAAGGAGAUAAGUAAUGUUUCUUCACUAUUCUUUUAAAGCAGGAUUGUGUAUGUAAUUGAUUUUAGUAUAGUAAUUGAUUUUUUUUAUAUAAAUUAUAUCCUGGUAACUUCGAAGACCUAUAUAGGGCUAUAUAUAGGGCUCAGCCUUUGCUAACACUAGCCCUAGCAAAGGCAAUACUUUGCUGAAUCUACAACCGGAUCCGAAUCGCGACCCACUGAGAAGAUCCGGUGAGAAACAGCUGUGUCUGUGUGUUAAUUUACUCGCCGAGCCCUUCGUCACAUUCGACGGGAUCGAUGAAAGUGGUGAACUGUGAUCGGAAGAUCAGGAGGAUCCGAAAUGAGAACCAUAGUUAUUGUUGUUCUCCAGUACAAAUAUCAACAAAAUCAAAGGAAAUUUUAUUUACCAGAAAUACAAAUUAAUUAUUAAUAACAUUAUUUAUUCUAUCAUUAUGAUCGUUUCAAGAUAGCGGCCAGCAUUGUGGAUACGAUGAAGAACUAAUAAUCACUUGAUUUAUCACAAAAUCUAUACAUAGUGACUAUGUUAAUAGAAAUAGUUAGUGCAUACGUAAAAAAUAAAUUUAACUAGCGUGUCCUGUAAUUAAAACUACUUUUACAGUUUGA